rnacentral:rRNA from 1 species
UACGUAGGGGGCUAGCGUUAUCCGGAAUUACUGGGCGUAAAGGGUGCGUAGGUGGUUUCUUAAGUCAGAGGUGAAAGGCUACGGCUCAACCGUAGUAAGCCUUUGAAACUGGGAAACUUGAGUGCAGGAGAGGAGAGUGGAAUUCCUAGUGUAGCGGUGAAAUGCGUAGAUAUUAGGAGGAACACCAGUUGCGAAAGCGGCUCUCUGGUCUGUAACUGACGCUGAGGUUCGAAAGCGUGGGUAGCAAACAGG